UAUUAGAAAGAAUACCAAUUGCGAAGGCAGCUUUCUGGAUCAUUACUGAUACUGAGGAACGAAAGCAUGGGUAGCGAAGAGGAUUAGAUACCCUCGUAGUCCAUGCCGUAAACGAUGUGUGUUAGACGUUGGAAAUUUAUUUUCAGUGUCGCAGCGAAAGCGAUAAACACACCGCCUGGGGAGUACGACCGCAAGGUUAAAACUCAAAUGAAUUGACGGGGACCCGCACAAGUAGUGGAGCAUGUGGUUUAAUUCGAAGAUACGCGCAGAACCUUACCAACACUUGACAUGUUCGUCGCGACUCUAAGAGAUUAGAGUUUUCGGUUCGGCCGGACGAAACACAGGUGCUGCAUGGCUGUCGUCAGCUCGUGUCGUGAGAUGUUGGGUUAAGUCCCGCAACGAGCGCAACCCUCACUUUUAGUUGCCAUCAUUAAGUUGGGCACUCUGAAAGAACUGCCAGUGAUAAGCUGGAGGAAGGUGGGGAUGACGUCAAGUCCUCAUGGCCCUUACGUGUUGGGCUACACACGUGCUACAAUGGUAUCUACAACAGGAAGCAAGACUGCGAGGUCAAGCAAAUCCUUAAAAGAUACCUCAGUUCGGAUUGCACUCUGCAACUCGAGUGCAUGAAGCUGGAAUUACUAGUAAUCGUGGAUCAGCGUGCCACGGUGAAUGCGUUCCCGGGCCUUGUACACACCGCCCA
rnacentral:rRNA from 1 species